rnacentral:rRNA from 1 species
AUGAUGGGACAUGAUGGGACACAACAGAGGGAGGUCAGGGUGGAGGCAUCAACCAUGGCGCCUCAUGCCCCCAUAGAGUCCACGACGACGAUGCCAUCCGACAAGAUGAUGAUGACGGAAGACGAUGACCGCGAGCUGGCGAGGGGAGAGGACGCGUGUGUCCUGCAGGUGUUGUUACCGGACGGCCGCGUUUUCUGCAGGAGCUUUGGUGCCGGACACCCCGUCAGGGCGCUGUUCCGCUACUGUUGGUCGAUCCUGCUCGUUGAAGGUGGCCCUGGGUGGAGGGCAUUCUACCUCGUGAGGCUCGCCGGCAGCGCGUCCGACGAGUUGGAUGCCGCCUCGGGCUUGUUUCGGGAUCUCAUGCUACACCACUUCAUCGUCCAUGUGGUUCUAAUCUUAUCGUCCUUUGGUGAUGAUUUUCAGAAGCGUAUGCCUCUCCAGAAGCUGACUACUAGAAGGAUGCGGUCCGUAGCGAGAUGGAUUCCAUCAUGGCUAACGGGACAUGGGAGAUUACUGAUCGUCCCUAUGGUUGCAAACCAUUGGGAUGUAAGUGGGUAUUCAAGAAGAAGCUUAGGCCCGAUGGUACGAUUGAAAAGUACAAGGCUAGACUUGUGGCCAAGGGCUAUGACCAGAAAGAAGAGGAAGAUUUCUUCGAUACUUAGUCACAUGUGGCUAGACUGA